GGAUUCGUAAUUCAAUUGGUAGAACACGGCCACUUGACAUGUUUAGGGGCUGUAUGUGGGUUCGAGUCCCAUCGAGCCCA